GGAACCGAAGUAUGCACAGCCUCUUUAUUGCUAGAACCGCUAUAAUUUAAUAUUGAGCUAAUAAUUUGAGUUAAUAUUUAUAAAGCACUUAGAAAGAGCCCAGCACAUAGUAAUAGCUAUCUAAGUUUUCAUUGAAUAAAUAAGGCACUUUCCAGAUUGGUUGGGUGAAUUCUUAACCUAGUGACAAAAUACAGAAUCAAAAUACACAGCAAUCUAAAUUUUUUUUUACCUUGAUAAAGAUUUAGGAACUGUAGUGCUCUGUAUUUAUUCCCACAUUUCAAGUGUACCCUAUAUAGUCUCUUGUGCAGGUCUAAAAUUAUACUCAUGGUUCAGAAAUCAAUGUGCACAAUUAAAUAAUGAAAGAGUUCAAGUUUCAAGAGAUGAAUUCUCUUUCCUCUCUCUCCAAGUAACCACCACUAAAAAUGACAAACUCUAAAAAUCUCAAAGCACUCCUAGAUGUACAGCCGAAUGCUAAAAGUGUGGGAAUAAACAGAGACAAAUUCACUUGAAAAGAGACGGAAAGGGUUCAAAUCACAAGAGAACUUAAGGGAUAGCAAUGGCAUUAAAGUCUCAAGACACCAGGUCCGCUGACAACAGGUUGAUUCCCGUGCCCUCCACUCCCGAGGCCUCCUCCAUCCCUGAUCCUCGCAGGUGACCCGCAGCCACUUUCGACCUCAGGUUGGGGUCUCCCUCCCUCCCCGUUCCCAGCUCCUCUUCGCUCUGAAGGUGCGCACGGGUUAACACUGUCGGUCCACCGACACCACUCGGGCGUUUAGGAAUCAAAAAGCAGAAUCUGAAUCCACCACGGGGAGACAAAGACCACAAACUCUGAGUCGGGUGCUGAGGCGAGGGUAUUGCUUUUCCCCUUCCGACCAACUCGGAGGUUUCCGGGCGGAGGUGCGGAGAGCUGCCAGGGGACCCGGGAAAGUCACGUUUGCUCCGUGGAGCGGCGGCAGUCGAGGCCCGUGACCCCCCGCCGCGCCCCAUCUCACCCGCCCGGGGACCUCGGGCUGCGGUCCGGACGCGCGCGGCCCCUGCCGCCCGCCCCCGCCGUGGGUCGCCGCGGCCCCACACCUACCCGGCUCCGCGGGGCUCCUCCCGGCGCGGCGGGCGCGGAGCCGAGCGCACCCGCGCUUCCUCCUUCCCGGCAGGGCCGCCGGGCGCCGGCGUUUCCUCCCUGACGCGUCACGGCGGCAGGCGGCUCCUCCCGCGGAGGGCGCGGGCGGCCCGGAGACCGGCGGCGGGCAGUGCGCGGGGAAGGCGCCCGCCGCGGAAGCCGGCUGUCCGGCCUCUUCCCGGGGGACCCCUCCGAUCCCGGGCCGCAGCGCGAAGGCCGGCCCGCCUCUCCGUGUGCGCGAAGCUCAGGGACGCCGGGGGUCCUGUCUGGAGGCUCAGACUCCCCGGCGUUUCGCGCUGCUCAGUGUUAGCGACCUCUGCCCGGGGCCCGAGAGCCGCUUGGGCCAAGGCGCCCGGGGCCGGCCAGUGAAGACGACCCUGGUGUGGGCAAGGAGCAGGAGCGCUGGACCGCCGGAGGGAUCAGCGUCGCCCGAGGAAUGGCCUGGCGGACAUGUGGCUGGGGGUCACCUGGAAACUCAAGAGAAGUGAAAUAAGAUAAAGAGAGGUACAGAAGGUGAAUGGAGAACUAAGAAUUAUAUGAUUCAAUGGGUGUGGAGUAAAGUGGUCAAGAUUUUGAAGCAGAGUGUUUUGUUUUGUUUGUUUUUUGCCGCACAACACUACUGUAAUUUAAAUUUUAUCAGAUAUCACUUGAAGAUAGACUCAAACAACUAUUUAAAGAUUCCUAUAUGCGUAACGUGCUUCAGAUUUUGAGGCAAUUGUCUGCUGUACACCAUCUGAUUCCAGAGAAUUUGCUACAAAUCUAUGAACAAGUAAACUUCCAGAGAUGAAAUGCCCAGUAGGAGACAUGGACCUCUAUAAAGGAUUGGAACUAAUUGCAAGAAUUUGAUUUACCAUAAGAUCAUCCUCCAAGCAAUGGAGGUGAUACUGGCCAACAGCUUAACCCAUUAUGAUUCCUUGAUGAUGGCAGCAAUUAUAGGCAAUAAACUUUACUUAAGU
rnacentral:lncRNA from 1 species